AAGGUCUAUAGUCGAGAGGGAAACAGCCCAGAUCACCAGUUAAGGCCCCCAAAUAAUGGCUAAGUGGGAAAGUAUGUAGAAACUCCAAGACAGCCAGGAGGUUGGCUUAGAAGCAGCCAUCCUUUAAAGAUAGCGUAACAGCUCACUGUUCUAAAUAAGUUUUUCCGCGACGAAGAUGUAACGGGGCUAAAGCCAUUUGCCGAAACUGUGACUUUAUAAUUAUUGCGAUAAUUAUAAGGGGUAGCGGAGCGUUCUGUAAGCCGUCGAAGAUGUUUUGAAAAAAAUGUUGGAGGUAUCAGAAGUGCGAAUGCUGACAUGAGUAGCGAUAAAGAGUGUGAGAGACACUCUCGCCGAAAUCCUAAGGUUUCCUGCGUAAAGCUAAUCUGCGCAGGGUUAGUCGACCCCUAAGGCGAGGCAGAAAUGCGUAGUCGAUGGGAAACAGGUUAAUAUUCCUGUACCUUCUGUGAGUUGACGGAUCACGUAAAUAGUACUCCCUUAUUGGAUUGAGAGUGCUGUGAAGUGGUUCCUGGAAAUAGCCACAGAGUAUAGAUCGUACCAAAACCGACACAGGUAGGAAGGUAGAGUAUACCAAGGCGCUUGAGAGAACUAUGUUGAAGGAACUCGGCAAAUUACACUUGUAACUUCGGGAUAAAAGUGACCUGCUAUUGGGCAACCAGUAGGAGGUGGCACAGAAGAGGGGGUAGCGACUGUUUACUAAAAACAUAGCACUAUGCAAAGUCGAGAGACGACGUAUAUGGUGUGACGCCUGCCCGGUGCCGGAAGGUUAAUAGGAGGGGUGCAAGCUCCGAAUUGAAGCCCCGGUGAACGGCGGCCGUAACUAUAACGGUCCUAAGGUAGCGAAAUUCCUUGUCGGGUAAGUUCCGACCUGCACGAAUGGCGUAACGAUUUCCCCACUGUCUCCAACAUAGACUCAGUGAAAUUGAAUUCUCGGUUAAGAUGCCGAGUAACCGUGGUUAGACGGAAAGACCCCGUGCACCUUUACUGCAGCUUUGUAUUGGUAUUAGGGGACAGAUGUGUAGCAUAGGUGGGAGACUUUGAAGGAUUGGCGCUAGCCAGUCUGGAGUCACCAGUGAAAUACCACUCUUCUGUUCCUUGAUGCCUAACCAUACACCGUUAUCCGGUGUUGGGACCAUGCAUGGUGGGCAGUUUGACUGGGGCGGUCGCCUCCCAAAGAGUAACGGAGGCGCGCGAUGGUAGGCUCAGAACGCUUGGAAACCGUUCGUCGAGUGCAAUGGCAUAAGCCUGCCUGACUGUGAGACUGACAAGUCGAGCAGAGACGAAAGUCGGUCAUAGUGAUCCGGUGGCACUUCGUGGAAGGGCCAUCGCUCAACGGAUAAAAGGUACGCCGGGGAUAACAGGCUGAUCUCUCCCAAGAGUCCAUAUCGACGGGGAGGUUUGGCACCUCGAUGUCGGCUCAUCGCAUCCUGGGGCUGAAGCAGGUCCCAAGGGU
rnacentral:rRNA from 1 species